GGAGGCAUGCUGCUAGCUCCUUAAGGAGGGAGAGUCUGCGCAUCAGGAUCUGGAGACCAGCCAAGCCGGGACACUUCCUGAUAUGCUGACAGAGGAUGUCAGCACAGGAGAACAGACCGGAUGACCCCUUGCAGCAGAGAAUCUGACAUUUGUGGAGGUGACUUCGGCAGUAAACCCAAGAGCCUUCCAAUCUGAAGGAUGACUGAGGCUGAUGAAGAGCCUGGAGUCAGGGAAAAUGGUGAAGCUUGAACCUUUUGAAAUCUUAAUGAAAGAAAGACGGCAUAAAGCUUAAUGGGCAUUACAGCAGAACACCUACUGCUAUUCAUUUCCAAGCAGGACCUCUCACUGAAUAUAGUGAUGAGACAAGAGCCGGGUGCAAUUGUGUAACUUUUUCACUCAUUCUGUUUGAUAAAAGAGUAAAAAAACAAUUUUUGGUAGAUAU